AGUCGAGGGGCAGCAUUUUAGUUUGCUUGCAAACUGAAGAUGGCGACCGGCGCACGGGCUGAGCUAACACGCUAUCCAACCUGCCGAUAACUCGGGGAUAGCCUUUCGAAAGAAAGAUUAAUAUCCGAUAGUAUAUUAAAACCGCAUGGUUUUACUAUUAAAGAAUUUCGGUUAUCGAUGGGGAUGCGUUCCAUUAGUUUGUUGGCGGGGUAACGGCCCACCAAGACUACGAUGGAUAGGGGUUCUGAGAGGAAGGUCCCCCACAUUGGAACUGAGACACGGUCCAAACUCAUACGGGAGGCAGCAGUGAGGAAUAUUGGUCAAUGGACGAGAGUCUGAACCAGCCAAGUAGCGUGAAGGAUGACUGCCCUAUGGGUUGUAAACUUCUUUUAUAUGGGAAUAAAGUAUUCCACGUGUGGGAUUUUGUAUGUACCAAAUGAAUAAGGAUCGGCUAACUCCGUGCCAGCAGCCGCGGUAAUACGGAGGAUCCGAGCGUUAUCCGGAUUUAUUGGGUUUAAAGGGAGCGUAGGUGGAUUGUUAAGUCAGUUGUGAAAAGUUUGCGGCUCAACCGUAAAAAUUGCAGUUGAAACUGGCAGUCUUGAGUACAGUAGAGGUGGGCGGAAUUCGUGGUGUAGCGGUGAAAUGCUUAGAUAUCACGAAGAACUCCGAUUGCGAAGGCAGCUCACUAGACUGCAACUGACACUGAUGCUCGAAAGUGUGGGUAUCAAACAGGAUUAGAUACCCUGGUAGUCCACACAGUAAACGAUGAAUACUCGCUGUUUGCGAUAUACAGUAAGCGGCCAAGCGAAAGCAUUAAGUAUUCCACCUGGGGAGUACGCCGGCAACGGUGAAACUCAAANGGAAUUGACGGGGGCCCGCACAAGCGGAGGAACAUGUGGUUUAAUUCGAUGAUACGCGAGGAANCCUUACCCGGGGCUUAAAUUGCAAAUGAAUAAUCUGGAAACAGGUUAGCCGCAAGGCAUUUGUGAAGGUGCUGCAUGGUUGUCGUCAGCUCGUGCCGUGAGGUGUCGGCUUAAGUGCCAUAACGAGCGCAACCCUUAUCUUUAGUUACUAACAGGUCAUGCUGAGGACUCUAGAGAGACUNCCGUCGUAAGAUGUGAGGAAGGUGGGGAUGACGUCAAAUCAGCACGGCCCUUACGUCCGGGGCUACACACGUGUUACAAUGGGGGGUACAGAAGGCAGCUACCUGGCGACAGGAUGCUAAUCCCAAAAACCUCUCUCAGUUCGGAUCGAAGUCUGCAACCCGACUUCGUGAAGCUGGAUUCGCUAGUAAUCGCGCAUCAGCCAUGGCGCGGUGAAUACGUUCCCGGGCCUUGUACACACCGCCCGUCAAGCCAUGAAAGCCGGGGGUACCUGAAGUACGAACCGCAAGGAG
rnacentral:rRNA from 1 species